AAUCUCCCCUCCUGCAAAUUUUUUUGAAGAGAAAGGUUGUUUCUCGGGAUAGAUGUUCACUAAAGGAGCUGCAAGAUAUUUGUUCAUAUAGCGAUUGCAAGAGAAAUUAAAUUUUUUAUGACCUUUUUUUUAUGGCAAUGGCGUUUCUGCUCCUGUGUAUUUUUUUAAUGAAAGAUUAGUCAUUUUAGUUGCAGAGAAUUCAUUAUUAUUAUUCAUUGAUAAGGUUUGGCUGCAGCACUAUCAUUAAGAUUAAGUAGAAAUGAACCUUAAAGGCUUCUAUUUGUGUAUCUAGUUCAUAUGUAGUUGUUUGAUAGGUUCUUUAUAUUUUACUUGCUGAAAGUUUUAUAUUUAUUCUGUUUAUUAUUAUUUUGUAAAUUUUCUUGGAGUUUGUCAUUAGAAUGGGUAAAGAGCAUUGGAACUCUAAACAUUUCUAUGUAAUAUUUUAUAUUAAAAGUUUAAUUGUA